rnacentral:rRNA from 1 species
CAGCACCUCAAGUAGUCAGGAUGAUUAUUGGGCCUAAAGCAUCCGUAGCCGGCUCUGUAAGUUUUCGGUUAAAUCUGUAUGCUCAACAUACAGGCUGCCGGGAAUACUGCAGAGCUAGGGAGUGGGAGAGGUAGACGGUACUCGGUAGGAAGGGGUAAAAUCCUUUGAUCUAUUGAUGACCACCUGUGGCGAAGGCGGUCUACCAGAACACGUCCGACGGUGAGGGAUGAAAGCUGGGGGAGCAAACCGGAUUAGAUACCCGAGUAGUCC